UAAUAGGGUUAUUUGGUUUGCUGGA
rnacentral:piRNA from 1 species